UACGUAGGUGGCUAGCGUUGUCCGGAUUUACUGGGCGUAAAGAGCGCGCAGGCGGUCGUUCAAGUCGAGUGUGAAAGCCCCCGGCUCAACUGGGAGAGGUCCUUGCAUACUGGCGGACUUGAGGGGGGUAGAGGAAAGUGGAAUUCCCGGUGUAGUGGUGAUAUGCGUAGAUAUCGGGAGGAACACCUGUGGCGAAGGCGGCUUUCUGGGCCCUACCUGACGCUGAGACGCGAAAGCGUGGGGAGCGAACCGG
rnacentral:rRNA from 1 species